GUCUUGAUGUGUUAUCUUAUCUUUUGGAUCGCAUGAUCGGAUUGGGGAGCAUUAUACCAACUAAGCUUGACCAUCGUUUCAUGUGCUCUAUUGCAAGUGGAGAUAUCUAGGCACAGUCAGAAAGCUACUUUCCGAGUGGCUUUGGGUUUGGUUUCAACGAAGUCCCUCCUCAGCUAGCACCGGAGUGUAGGCCAGGCUCUCCGUCGUCGCAGCUUGAGAGACCUUCGGGUUAGUCUUCCGCAAACCGUUCCUGCUUAGCCAACUCCUCUUCUCAGCUGGUUUCGAUCAGCAAAGAAUUUAGGAAGCGCUUGUGUUAGGAAAUUAGUUGAUACUUGUUGCUAAGCUUUAGCUCUAAGUUUGUUGUUUCAAUAUUCUUAGAUCUUUCCUUGAUGCUAUAGGUUCUUUUAACUUUUUUUGCGACCUUUAGGAUCAGAUCAGCUCUUGAGCAAUCUAGGAUUUCAAUUUCGAUUGUAAUCAAACUUUCAUUAUUCAGUUAAUGAUAUUUACAACUUUAGCAAAAAAAAAAAAGCAUGGGUCUUCACAAUAUUCUAUGCGAGAAUGGAUUACUCAUAUGAGUCCAAUGAAAUUAUCUCAAUAAUGGGCCGUAUUAACAAUUAGUUCACUGAACAAACAAUCGCAACUUGUUGUAAGAAAAAAGGAACAAAUUUACCCAAUGCAGAGCCGGCUUAGAACAACUCGAAAAAAAGUUUUUGAUAAGUAUCUAAUGAUUAAAAAUAAAGAAAAAAAAUAUGAAAAACUAGGGUAGGUCCGUGCUACGCCCGGGAUGUGCUUUACAGGUGAUGUAAUUGUAUAUUUAUUUGUGUGUGUUAUGUAAGCUUUUGCAAGAGAAUUGUAUAAUAAUGUUUAUGGUGUUUGAAAAUGUUAAGGUGUGGAGGGAUUAUGUAUUUUAAGAUUAAUUAUGUUUAAUUCGGAUAUUUUUGUAUAUUAAUAGAUUAUGACGUAUAACAUAUUAUAUUGGGUGUAUGAGGUGUAGGUGGUACUCUCAUUGUAUGUUUUUUUUUAUAAUUUUGGUUUGCUAUAUUUUAAGUUCUUAAGAAUAGGUUUGUGGUUUUCAUGAUUAUUAUUUGUGUGAAUGGAUUGGAAUUCGUUACGGUAUAUGUUAUGAUGAAUAUGAUAUUUAAGAACUGAGUAAAUAGUGAAAGUAUCAAUUUAAUUGUGUAUAUUAAAAGUUAACCCUUAAAUCUAUAAUUAUAAAAUUAUUUUUCAAUUAUUUCAAUUUGUUUAAGGUCAUUGCAUAUAUAGGUGUAAAGCAGAUACAUUUGAUGCAUAAGUAAUCUAAGUCUUUGUUUACUAUUAUGUAAAUAGUUGAGUUUAUUUUUUUAUUUUUCUGUUAGUUUCUUAAUUUUUACAGUUUUAACUGAAUAUUUUGUAGCUCUUUGUAAGUGAAUAAUAUUAUUUUAAUGUUUUCUUGUUAAAUGUGAUAAUUUUUUUUAUUAAAAUAAGGUUAUAUUUUAUGGAACCAAAAAUAUUUAACUAACAAUAAAAAUGAUGAAGAUAGAUAUGAAUUAUUUUUUCUUCCAUGACUUUGAACUCUGCUUAUUUUCUAAUUUGGGUUGAUGGAUUUUUCUUAUAUAUAUUUUAAUACUUUCUUUUAUUUAUUUUUAGAAAUUUUAGUAAUCUUUAUAAAUUUAGUUGUUUUUAUGAUCAUGUGAUGUCACAAUAAUAUUUAUAAUGCUUUUUCUUGAAAGAUUAACUAUUUUAAAAUUUCUAAAAAAAAUAUGUGUAUAUUCCAAGACAUACUUUAUUUUAGCUUAAAAUAUUUUUCAAACGAUCAUUUAUAUAAUUUAGAUCGAUACUUUAAAAUACUCAUAACAUGUUUUGCAUAUUUAUUUGUAUUUUAUGUUUACUAAAUCCUAUAUUAAGCUAUGUAACUGAUUAUUCUUUCUAUAUAUCAUGAAGAUUUGUCUCACAUAACCCUUCCGGAUAUCCAUUGUCGGCUGAACUGAUUAGAGCUCAAUAAGGCGAUAAACCCUAGACGUCGAUGGUCGUCCUUGAUGAAGACUCACAGAAUGCGUUUCAAUCUUGUCUUAUAUUAGAAAUAUAGAUUAUCAUAUAUGAUUGUUAAUAUGCUAUUCCAAUUGUAGGGGUUGGUUUGCAACUAAGUCGUAUUUAGUUUGUUUGUGGUAAGUUUAUAUAUAUAAAAAUUAUUUCGUUAUACACUGUAUUGUAUUUAAUAUUAUAUUCAAAAUAUGUUUUGUUUAAAGAGUUUCAAUAUUUAUAUUAUUUUAUGAAAUUUGUUAAUAUAGAUGAAAAAAAGUUUCUAUUGUAGCAUGAAAUUUAUGGUAUUGUAAAGUGGGUUUUGUAAA